rnacentral:rRNA from 1 species
UACGGAGGAUGCAAGCGUUAUCCGGAAUUAUUGGGCGUAAAGCGUCCGCAGGUGGCACUUCAAGUCUGUCGUCAAAGACCGGGGCUUAACCCUGGAAAGGCGAUGGAAACUGAAAGGCUAGAGAGAGGUAGGGGUAGAGGGAAUUCCCAGUGUAGCGGUGAAAUGCGUAGAGAUUGGGAAGAACAUCGGUGGCGAAAGCGGGUUGCUGGGCUGAUACUGACGCUGAGGCGCGAAAGCCAGGGGAGCGAACGGG